rnacentral:snoRNA from 1 species
GCAUGCCGGUGGCAAUGGUAAAUGCGAUGAAUGUGCUCGCGUCCUGCUGGGUGUGCGGCUGUGGUGGUAUACAUUCUUACUCAGUUUAUCUGAUGCACGC